rnacentral:lncRNA from 1 species
GAAGUCAAAAGCUACUUGCAUUUGUCAUUUGAAUUUAAAGCAAACAAACAAACCCAUGUCUGCAUUUUAUCCUAAUGCAUAGCUGCAUAAAACUUGAUGUAUAUGACUAAAUCUAUUACUCAACACUACUUUUUAACAAGAGAAUAUCCCCAGAAGAAAUCAGGGCUGAGAAUGAAUAGAGUGGACAUAAAGCAUUGAGGAGGAUGACAAAGAAGACUUGAUUUCUGAAUUCUGUUUCUGGUAAGCAUCAUCUGUGUACUACAACCAAAAAUCACGUGAAAAAUCUAAGGAGGCUUAGAAUUCCAGUAAAGUAUCUUUACUCAGUUGAGAAACCUGCUUAGCU